UUAUGACGUGCUUGCACUGAAUGAGAUUUUAACACGAAGUGAGUGGCGGACGGGUGAGUAACACGUGGGUAACCUGCCCAGAAGCAGGGGAUAACACCUGGAAACAGAUGCUAAUACCGUAUAACAGAGAAAACCGCCUGGUUUUCUUUUAAAAGAUGGCUCUGCUAUCACUUCUGGAUGGACCCGCGGCGCAUUAGCUAGUUGGUGAGGUAACGGCUCACCAAGGCGAUGAUGCGUAGCCGACCUGAGAGGGUAAUCGGCCACAUUGGGACUGAGACACGGCCCAGACUCCUACGGGAGGCAGCAGUAGGGAAUCUUCCACAAUGGACGCAAGUCUGAUGGAGCAACGCCGCGUGAGUGAAGAAGGGUUUCGGCUCGUAAAGCUCUGUUGUUAAAGAAGAACGUGGGUGAGAGUAACUGUUCACCCAGUGACGGUAUUUAACCAGAAAGCCACGGCUAACUACGUGCCAGCAGCCGCGGUAAUACGUAGGUGGCAAGCGUUAUCCGGAUUUAUUGGGCGUAAAGCGAGCGCAGGCGGUCUUUUAAGUCUAAUGUGAAAGCCUUCGGCUCAACCGAAGAAGUGCAUUGGAAACUGGGAGACUUGAGUGCAGAAGAGGACAGUGGAACUCCAUGUGUAGCGGUGAAAUGCGUAGAUAUAUGGAAGAACACCAGUGGCGAAGGCGGCUGUCUGGUCUGUAACUGACGCUGAGGCUCGAAAGCAUGGGUAGCGAACAGGAUUAGAUACCCUGGUAGUCCAUGCCGUAAACGAUGAUUACUAAGUGUUGGAGGGUUUCCGCCCUUCAGUGCUGCAGCUAACGCAUUAAGUAAUCCGCCUGGGGAGUACGACCGCAAGGUUGAAACUCAAAAGAAUUGACGGGGGCCCGCACAAGCGGUGGAGCAUGUGGUUUAAUUCGAAGCUACGCGAAGAACCUUACCAGGUCUUGACAUCUUCUGCCAACCUAAGAGAUUAGGCGUUCCCUUCGGGGACAGAAUGACAGGUGGUGCAUGGUUGUCGUCAGCUCGUGUCGUGAGAUGUUGGGUUAAGUCCCGCAACGAGCGCAACCCUUAUUACUAGUUGCCAGCAUUCAGUUGGGCACUCUAGUGAGACUGCCGGUGACAAACCGGAGGAAGGUGGGGACGACGUCAAAUCAUCAUGCCCCUUAUGACCUGGGCUACACACGUGCUACAAUGGAUGGUACAACGAGUCGCAAAACCGCGAGGUUUAGCUAAUCUCUUAAAACCAUUCUCAGUUCGGACUGUAGGCUGCAACUCGCCUACACGAAGUCGGAAUCGCUAGUAAUCGCGGAUCAGCAUGCCGCGGUGAAUACGUUCCCGGGCCUUGUACACACCGCCCGUCACACCAUGAGAGUUUGUAACACCCAAAGCCGGUGGGGUAACC
rnacentral:rRNA from 1 species